rnacentral:misc_RNA from 1 species
UCUCCGUAGGUGAACCUGCGGAGGGAUCAUUACAGAGUUCAUGCCCUACCGGGUAGAUCUCCCACCCUAUGUUAUUAUUACUUUGUUGCUUUGGCGGGCCGUUAGGCUCCGGCCCGACUACCGGCCCCGGCUGGUAAGCGCCCGCCAGAGGACCCAAAACCCUGAAUAUUAGUGUCGUCUGAGUACUAUAUAACAGUUAAAACUUUCAACAACGGAUCUCUUGGUACUG